rnacentral:lncRNA from 1 species
AGUUGUUGUUGUUGUUGUUGUUGUUGUUGUUGUUGUUGUUGUUGUUGUUCUUCUUCUUCUUCUUCUUCUUCUUCUUCUUCUUCUUCUUCUUCUUGUUUUGUUUGUUUUUGUUUUUGUUUUUUCUUCAUAGAAACUCAGGCUGUUGGUCUAGCCACCCGUUCUGUUUUCUGUCUGUUCUCCUUCAGGCCUUCAUAAUGUUCUGCAAUGUUUGUUUAUAUUCAGGUUAUAUAGUUUAAAACAAAACACCUUGUGUGUUUGUUUCCAUCUUUGCUUUCAUAUAAUAUCUGACUUUGAUUUAAAUUUGUGACUAUCCUGUCAUUCAUUUUUCUUGACAGCUUCUUGAUUCUCUGCUUUUAUAGAUUAUAAUACGCUGUUCCCAGUAAAGUUUUCCUUUAAAGUUACUAUUAAACUUACUACUAUCCACUAGAUGGCUCAUGUACACCGCUUUGGUGGCACAAAUUGAUGUUUGACAGCCAUUGUUUAUCAUAUCAAAAGUAAAGACAGUGCAUUAUAUACUUUGAAGAUUUUAUAUUUUACUUUUGACAUCUGAUUUGGAGUAGAUGUGGUGUAUUUCUGUAGUCCUAGCACUUAGGAGGUGAAAUUAGAAUUGUGAGUUUGAAGCUAGUCUGAAGUACAUACAUAUAAAGUGUUGGAACAAGGUAAGUUUGUCUUUUUUAGGUGGUGAGACAGGAUCUUGAUAUUGUAGCUCAGACUGGUCUGUAAUUCUUUAUGUUGACCAUGCUGGCCUUGAACUUGUGGUCUUUCCGCCUCUACCUCUACAGUACAGGACUUGGGCUGCAUCCCUUGGCUGUGUCUGUCUUUAUAAAAGUCUCCUGAUUUAUUUUUGAGUCCUUUUGAUAAACUAUGUAAAAUAGGAAAUAUAGUUAUUACCUAGUUUUCUUAAGGAAACAUGUAAAAUAAUAGUAACAGAUUUUUAAAAAAUGAUUAUUUGGGAAUCUCAUAUUAUACAUCCUGAUAGCACUCACCUCCCAGUCCUCCCAUGUCCCCAUUAGGACCUCCUACCCACCCACUCCCCCC